rnacentral:lncRNA from 1 species
AACCUCUCACUUUUCUCUCUCUAUACUCUUGCAUAACCUCUCCUCUUCAAGGUCGAUGAUUUUUACUGUAAAUCGGAUCUAGUUUCUGAUUUCAAGUUUUUUGAUGUAGUGCAUAGUCAGAUUUGGGUUGUGACUAUGUGUAGUUGUCAUUUGCAGAAGGUUUUCAGCAUUUUUAUAGUUGAUUAAACUAUAUAGAAUUUUGGCUACGCUUGAUUAUGGUCUUGAGUCGAUUAGAGGUUGUUUUUCUUGAGAUCGAUUAUAGUGUCUCGGGUCACAUUGUUGUACUCUAGUCUCAGACUUUCUCUUGGGCAGUUCUUUGAACAUAGUGAUGGGCUCUUUACCUUUGAGCCCCCAAAUUAGGCAUUAUCAAACUGGGUGACCAUUUCUUAUAUUGAUACUACCGUUUUGAAUGAGUUUGUGUUUAGUGAUUUGUAUACUAGCUAUUUUAGUACAUGAAAUCAUAACAAAAUUGGUAUCAGAGUUUCGUAAGGUAUGGGUAUGGCAUCUUGAAAUCUGAUCUAAUUUUUCCUUCCAUAUUGAUGCGUUUCUUUGAUCUGUGCAAUUCUUGAAAACUGAUCAGAACUGAGGAUCUUGAAUGCUAGGGUUUAAUCAAAAUGAACUUGAUUUUUAAAUACUAUUAUACAUAGAAUUUUGGUGAGACUGUUCCAAUCAUUUUUCUUAGUUACAGAUCUGCAUGAUUUAAAUGUUAUAUGAGAAUUCGUUAGAUUACUAUGGUUCAGUAUAUUCAAGAAUCUGAAUAAAUUGUUUGAUUAUAAUAGGAAAAUGUUAGGUGUUUUUAGUUUCUUCAAUCUGAGUGUUUGGUACUAUCUGUGAUAAUUCUGAAACUGAGUUUUCUUGUUACUGUUUCAGUCUCUGCAUAUUAUAUUACCGUUAUUUUUCAUUCUGAGAUCAGCUUACUUGUCACAAAUUGUAAAAGCUCUUUUUGCAACUUAAGUAUUCUUUCAAAUUAAGAAUCACUUGUGUACACGAGUGAUAACCACCAUUUUACAGAAUAUGCAAUGGGUUCGAAGGUCGAAUUAUCACAAUCAAUGGAAAUGGGGAUUACUUCAACUAGAAGCAGAAAAUGAGGUCAUAUCGGUUCAAGGAAGGAUUGCUAAAGCCUUGAAUGAUCCUAAAAUGUUUUCUACUUACUUGAAAGCUAAACCUGAUGAAAUGGCAUAUAGUUAUACCAUAUUGUACUUAGUUGAUAAUAUAGUAAGGCAAGUGAAGAUGCUAAAACUCCUAGAGCCUUGUGGACUGCAUUAGAUGCUUCGAUCCUAAGUAAGAUACUGCCUAAUAAGAUCUACCUCUUUGAAAAACUCUUUAGUUUCAAAAUGGAUAUUGGGAAAGAUUUGGAAGCUAAUCUGAGUAAUUUUAGCAUCCUAGUUAAGAGCCUUGCCCAUAAUGAUAAAAAUUUGAGGAUUUAGACCUUGCAAUAAUCCUUCUUAAUUCAUUACUUGAUUCGUAUGAGGAUAUUAAGAAUGCAAUAAAAUACUCAUCAAGAGAUGUAUCAACACAAACAAUUGUCACUAAUGCUCUAAAUUCUCGAGAAUUGGAAGAGAGAAUCUAGAACAAGUUCAAGAGAGGAGAUUAUGUUUGUAAGAGGAAGAAUGAAAAUAACUUCAGCAAAAGAAGAUUUAAAACUAAAUCUAAAACAAGAUCAAAAUCAAGAAAUAAAAGCCAUAAGAAGUGUUACCAUUGUGGGAAGUUAGGUCACUCUAAAAGAUAUUGUUUUGAAUGGAAGAAAAACUAAAGGAUCAUAAUAAUGGAGAAUUGAAUAAUUCUAUCGUUGGUUCUAAAUUCUACCUACUUAUAAUGACGAUGUCUAAUGAAGACGUUGAUAAGCACUGGAUCUUAGAUUCAGAAUGUACAUUUCACAUGUCUUAAUAGAUCUUUGUUUAAUAAUUACAAAGAAAUUGAACUAAGGAAAGUGUAUAUGGGUAAUAAUAACUCAAAGUAUUCUUGGUAUUGGUGAUAUUGCCAUCAGAAUGUAUGAUGGUAUUGUCAAGCAACUAAAAAAUGUGAAAUAUGUCCCAAGCCUAAAACGAAAUCUAAUUUCAUUGAGAAUUCUUAAAGAUGAGAGACAUUCUUUCAAGUCUGAAAAUAACACUUUGAAAGUUAUGAAGGGUCUUUAGUAAUUUUCAAGGGAUUAAAGAGAAAUGAAUUGUAUUCUUAUAGGAGAGAUAAUUACUCCUCAAGAUACUAAAUCUUUGACCAUAAUAGAAAAAAAACUAGAACUGUGUCAUAAUAGAAUGGGACAUAUGGGAAAUAAGGUUCAGAAGUAUCUAAGCAAUCAAAAGCUAUUUGGGAAGGAUAUGAUUGAGGCCCUUGAAUUUUGUAAAACAUGUGUGUUGGGUAAGUCACAUAGGGUGAGCUCUAAAACUGGGUCACGUACCAUCUCUAAGCCCUUAGACUAUGUCCACUCGAAUUUAUGGGAUCAGAGAAUCACUUUACCUUUGGAGAAAAUAAAUACUUCAUUUUUAUAGUUGAUGACUACUCAAGAAGGUAAUGGAUUUAUCCAUUGAAGUCCAAAUCUGGGACAUUUUAAAAAUUCAGAACUUGGUUAAAGAUGGUUGAGAAUUAACUAGAUAAAAAGUUAAAAACUCUAAGACCAGAUAAUGGUUUGGAAAUUUGUGAUGCUGAGUUUGAUAACUUUUGUAAACAAAAGGGAAUUGCAAGAUAUAAAAUCGUUAAGCACACACCUUAACAGAAUGGGGUCGCUGAAAGAAUGAAUAGAAAUCUAAUGAACAAAAUUAGGUGUAUGCUAAUUGGUUCUAGAUUGGCUAAUGGUUUUUGGGCUGAAGUUGUGACUACUGCUGCUUAUCUUAUAAAUUAAUUUCCAUGCUGCUCUGUUAGGUUUAAAAGUUCACGGGAACUUUAGACUAGAAAAUCUCCAAAACUUUCUCACGUUAGGAUGUUUGGGUAUGCAACAUAUUCACAUCAAAUUGAUGAAAAGUUGGAUCCUAGAGCAACUAAGUGUGUUAUGCUUGGGUACGCUGAAGGGGUACAAAUUAUAGGUGAUGGGUGUACUAGGCAUUAAGAUCAUUAAUAGCAUGAAUAUAGGAUUUAGUAAAUCUGAAAUGCCAUGUACGAAAAAUAAAAGCUAUAAUCCAAAAGAGCAAACUGGAAAUACGUGUAAGUUAAAUUUAGCUAGGUUUAGCCAUACCCAACUUGAGAAUGUUGUAGCUAAUAUUCGACAACUUGAUGAAAAUUUUGUUAACACAGAUGAAGGUGAAGUAAAUUUACCUCAACUGAAGUUGAAAUAGAAAUUGUAAACCCAAAUAUUCUCACUAUUUAGAUAAGUACUCAAGAUUAUCAAUUAGUUAGAGAUAGGGAAAGGAAACAAGUCAAACCAAUUCCAAGACAUAAAAUAACUAACUUGACUAACUUUGUCUUUAUCUUCGUUAAAUCUUUAGAAUAUUCUGAACCUUCAUCUUAUGAAGAGGCUAUGAACAGCUCUAAAUCUGAGAAAUAGAAAGAUACAAUGAAAGAAGAAUUGAAAUUUUUACUUGAUAAUAAAACAUAGAAACUGGUAAAGAGACCUAAAAUUCAAAGAGUUGUUCAAUGCAAGUGGAUUUUCAAAAUAAAGGAUGAGAUUAAUUCAUCUGACCCUAUGAGACAUAAAGUUAGGCUUGUAGCCAAAGGUUUUACUCAAAGGGAGAGGAUUGACUAUAAUGAGAUAUUUUAUCCGAUUGUGAAAUAUAAGACCAUAAGAUUGAUUCUUGCAGUAGUUGUUCAAUUCAAUUGGGAACUUGAACAAUUAGAUGUCAAGACUGCAUUUUUACAUGAUAAGCUAGAUGAUAUAUCUAUAUGAGUCAACUCAAAGGGUUUGUGAGGAAGGAAAAUGAAGAUUAUAUUUGCAAAUUGUAAAAAUCAUUGUAUGGACUCAAAUGAGGUCAAAGCAAUGGUACAUUAGAUUUAACACAUAUGCGUUGAAGAUUGGGUUCAAGAGAAAUGAAUAUGAUCAUUGUCUGUACUACAAUAAUGCUAGGGUUGGUAGUGAGGUUUAUUUACUUCUAUAUCUUGAUGACAUGCUAUUGGCCAGCUCUAGCAAAGUUGAAAUUCUAAUACUUAAGAAUAGGGCUGGACAAAACUCUCGAAUCGAACCGAACCGAACCCAACGGUUCUUCUCAAGUUAAAUACCCGAACGGGUAUUUGAAUCAAGAACCGACGGGUAUGGUUCGGUUCUCGAUUCUAGGCCAAGAACCGAAUAAGAACCGAAUUUUCGUAAUUUUUUUAAUUAAUUUAUUUUAAAUAAGUAAAAUUAUUUUAUUUUUUCUAAAUAAAUUUGUUAGCUAGUUAAUUUAGUUCAAAUCACAAGAUAUGGUCUUCCUAUUUUUAAUUUUCAGUUCAAAAUCAACAUAAUCAAAUUAAUCUCAAUUUUAUCUAAAACUGUUAUUCUACUGUAGUGUCGUUUCUACCUAGGGGUGGCAAAUUGGUCGAGCGGCUCGUGGGCUCGCCCGCUUGGCCCGUGAAAAUGAAGUUCGUGGGCCGCUCGGUUAGCACAAAAAAUGAGCUGCUUGCGGGCUGGUUUCGAAACGAGCCACGAGCUCGGCUCGUGGGCUCGUUUUAAAUUGUGACCGAAACGGUCACAUUUUUUGAAAUGUGAUCGUUUCGGUCACUUUUAGAACAGUCACUGACUUUUUGUCAGUGACCGUUUCAGUCCCUCAUUAAUGUUUUUUUAAUACGUUUUUUGACCGUUAAUGGUCACUGAAUUUUUUCAGUGACCGUUUUGGUCCUUAAAUUUAUUUUUUUUCCUUUUCUUCUAUAAAUAGUGGCAUUUAGCCACAAUUUUUUUUUACAAUUCUCUCAACUCUCAAUUAUCUUUCUCUCAAAUCUCUUGUAUUGUGUUGAUAACUUGCAAUUUUUAUAUACAAUAUUCAAUUUUUAUUUUUUAGUUCUCACUAUAUUUAUUGAAAUUUCGUCCAAUUUUCAUUUCUCACUACAUUUAUACAAUUAUUUUUCUACUAGUUAUUACUUAUUACAACUAAACAAAUGGAUCCACGCUCAUUUGUCAAAAACUUGUUCGGUGUGGGAGAAAACGAAUUGCCUAUAACACAGCAAAGUCAAUUUCAGAAUCAAUUUGAAGGUCUAAAUAACGUAUCCCUACCUGAAAAUAUUUCAGAUUUGGAUCAUCAUCAUCAUAUAAGUGGCAAUCCAAAUUAUUCAAUUAAUUUGGAUGAUGUUGACGUUCUCGAAGAUGAACACAAUCAGGAAGAAGAUGCUGAAUUAAACAUUCCUGAUGUGAGAGGAAAGCGAAAGGGGAAAAAAUAAGCAAAAUAUUGGGAUCACUUUAAGUUGAUUUCAAUGGAAAAAAUUGUCAGUGGAGUCCAAGAAUCCAAAGCAGUAUGUAAAUACUGCCAACAAAGAUUGUCGUGACAAAGAGGAAUUGGUAUCACCCAUCUCAACCGUCAUUACAAAGUAUGUGUGGCCAAACACGGAUUUAUUUUAGGCUGUCAAACACAAUUGCAAUUUGGCAGUCUAGAUGUCGGUGGUUCUACUGCACCCUUAUCCACAUGUGUAUAUUUGGAGGAGAGAGAUCGAACCGGAAUGGUGAAAUUUGUUGCUGGUGCUGAGUUGCCUUUGGCAUUAAUUAACAAUCAACACUAUGUCUCGUAUGUGAAAGAAUAUCUGCAGCCAAGGUACGUUGGGAUAAGUCGAAACACUCUUCGUUCUGAUAUAAUACAGUAUUUUACUUUAACAAAACAACAAUUAAUUAUGGAUUUGCAAAAAUAUGGGGGUGUCAUUCUUUAGCUUCAAAUAUAUGGGAAUGGAUUAAUAAAAGAGCAUAUAUAGCUGCAACUGCACAUUAUAUAGACCCACUUUGAUGUAUGCAUAAAAAAAUUAUUGCUUUAAAAAUUAUUGAGUUUCCUUACAACGCUGAUAAUAUAUUUAAUGCUAUUAUUAGUAUUGUUAGAGAAUAUCAUUGCGAAGGUAAAAUUCGUUCAUUUACUUUCGAUAAUGCUAGUGUUAAUAAAGUAGUUGCUGAAAAAUUGCAUAGGGCACUACAACCUGAUUUUGGUGGGUAUUUGUUUUAUAUUUGUUGUGUAUAUCAUAUUUUGAAUUUAAUUGUCCACGAUGGUUUAAAAUAUAUAAAGGAUGAACUUCAAAAUAUUAGGAACACACUAAUAUAUAUCACAAUCUCUUCAAGUAGAAAACAAACAUUUGAAGAUUAUUGUGUCGAAAUAGGAGUGUGAAAUGCUAAAACAUUUGUUAGCGACGUAGGUCAUAGGUGGAGCUCUACUUACUUGUUAUUAAAGUUAUGUGAAAGUUUUGAAUAUUUAAUAACUGACUUUUAUAACAAUAGACAUGUUAGAAGUGAUGACGAGGGUAUGUUGACUGAACAUGAUUGGUAUUUAGCUUUGAAAGUUAAAAAAAUUUUGACAUCUUUUUAUGAAACCACUAAAAUUUUAUUGGGCGUUUACUAUCCCACCAGCUAUAUGAUGCUUAAACGUCUUUAUAUAAUUGCAAGAACAUUUCAUAAAUACAGAAAUGACCUUGAUUUUAGUGAAAUUAUAAUUGUUAUGGAAUUAAAAUUUAGAAAAUAUUGGGAAGAUUUGCCCGUGUUAUUUCCUUUAACAUGCGUGAUGGACCCCCGAUAUAAUUUAUCAGGAACUAAAUAUAUAAUUGAUUAAAUUUCAAACACUUUAACAUUUUAUACAUCUAUCACAUAUAGAAAUUUAGAUCAAACAUUAUGUGAAAUGUAUGAAUUAUAUGCGAAUCGAAUGGGUACCAAUAUUAGUCGGGUAUCAUCUACAUCUAUUCCUUCCAUUGAAAUUGAAGAAGAAGAUGCGGAAAUAUUUAAUUUAUUUCAAGGCAUUAAUUCGUAUAGAUUUGAUUCAUUUGCAACGUGUUCAUCUACUACCACUGUCACUGUCAUGUCAUCACCAUCUGUAUCUCAUUCUCAUCAUACAUCUACGAGCUCAAGCCAUAAUGCAUUGCCUGCUGAAUUAAUUGAUUAUUUUAAUCAGGAUAUGUCAACAGAUAAAACAAUUAAAAAAAGUUCAGAGGAAAUAAUUGAAUUCUGGCGAAGGUAUGAACGACGUUGGCCAAUUUUAUCUGCGAUUGCAAAAGAUCUACUGAUACCUCCGGUUAGCACUAUUGCUUUGGAGUCUGCUUUUAGUGUAGGUGAAAGAAUUUUGAGCGAUGUCAGGAGCCGACUGAAAGAAGAUAUUUUAGAAGCGUUAAUGUGUGUUAAGGAUUGGCAGGACGCUCAUUUUCGACUACAAGAUAAAUAUGUCGAAAUUGCAUGUCGUCAAGUAAUUGAUAUUUGAUUUAAUUAUAUUGAUAAAACAUUUUUUUUCUUAUCGUUACUUUUAAUUUUCUUUAAAGACUUAUACACGCUAUAAAAAAUUGUUCAUAUACAAUUUUUAACUCCGCCUACUGAAAAUUUAAGUAGCCGGUCUCAAACUCGGAUAAAGGAGGAGGGUUUAUAUUUUAUCUAUUUUAAAAAGAAAAAUAAAAAAAUAAAUUUUUGUUAUUUAUUUUUUCUAUCUCUUUUAGUUAAAAAAAUUACUUUUUUAUUUUUCAAAUUAUUUAUUUGAGAACAAAAAAAAAAUAUAUAUAUAUAUAUAUAUAAACGACGUCUACUCGCUAGCUGGGCUCGGCUCGGCCCACGAGCUACCCACGAGCCUCGAGCUCGUGGGCCGAGCAGAGCUCGCCCUUUUUUAAACGAGCCGAGCUCGUGGUUACAUGGGCCGAACCGCUCGACUUGGCCCAUUGACAUCCCUAUUUCUACCGAAAAAAAUCGAAUUAAAGUUUUACAACAUCUCUCUUAGUUAUUUUGAACUCGUUAUCUUUCUCUUUUUGUGAUUUUGAUAAUCAAAUUUAUGAAGAGUUCAACAAAGAGAGACGUGAAACACAUAAAAUUGAAAUACGUUAUUUUGUAAGAGUUAAUAUUGAACAUAUUAUUAAUUAAAUUAACAUAACUUUGUAUAUAUUAAAAAAUUUAAUUAUAAUAUAGAAUCGAAUGGAACUGAAUCGGACUGAACCGAAUGAAAUCGAACCCGAACGGUUCCGUAAUUAAAUUUGGAUCCAACGGUUCCACUUACUAAAUGCCCAAAAAUUUCGGAUUGAUUCGAUUCUUGUUAAAAUCGAACCGAACCGGACCAUGUCCAGCCCUACUGAAGAACCUCCUGAAAUCUGAAUAUGAUACAAAAAAACUUAGGAAAUGCUAAGAAAAUUUAACAAAAAUAGACAAAAGUAUAUUCUAACUAUAAUACGAAAUGCUUAUUCGAAAAAGGUUAUAACCAAAUUUGGCAUGAAAAAUGCUAAGAUAGUGUUUGAUUAGAGGUAAAAUGGAAUUGGAAUUUCAUAUUCCAAUUUAAUCUUGUUUGGUGGCCAUUUUUUUUUCACCUAAAAUUGAAUUUCCAUCUUUGGUGUCACAUAAGUCAAUUUCUAUGAAUUCAAGGAAUUGCAGUUCUCACCAAAAUGGUGAGAAUUGGAAUUCCCGAUUACUGUAACAUUUUAUUUUUAUUUUUUGGCAAUGAAAACAAAUUCUAAGGAUUAUUGUAAGAAAAUAUUUCCUUUUAAUUGAUAAUUUUCAUGUAAAAUAAAAUCAAAUGAACACCAAAAUAUAUAUGAUUUUUUUGAUUUUUUUUUUUUGGCUUUGGCAAUGGGAACAAAUUUCAUCCCCAAUACCAGUAAAUUUUAUCCCUUUAAAUGACAAUUUUCAUAUAAAAUAAAGCCAAACGAACACCAAAAAAUACUUUUAUUUCAACAUUUUUCACGUAAAAAAUUAUACUUAUCAAACACAAUAAUUUACAAUUCUCAGGAAAAUAAUUUAUAGGCAAUUCAAUUAUAUUUUUGCAAUCAAAGGAACCCUAAAUGUUUGAAUGUACCUCUUGUUGCCCAUGUAAAUCUAUUAUCAGCCCAAUUACCUAAAAUUGAAACUGAAAUGAAAGAAAUGAAAUAUAUCCCGUACACCAAUACCAUAGGAUCUGUCAUGUUUUCUAUGAUCACUAUUAGGCCAAACUUAGCUUUUGCUAUAAGUGUCUUAGGUAGAUUUAUGUCUAAUUUUGAAAAACAUCAUUAGGCUAGGUUAAAAUAGCUUCUAAGAUAUAUAGCUGGGACAUUAAGUACAAGAUUAGCGUUUGAAAUGAGAUUUGAACUGCUUACUUUAAUGGAAUAUGUAGACUCAAAUUUUGUUGGUGACAAAGACCAAAGAAAAUCUACUACUGCCUAUUUCUUUACACUUGGUGAUAAUUGUAUCACAUGGAAGUCACAAUUUCAAUCUAUUGUCACAUUAUCUAUUAUGGAGGCUGAAUAUGUGGCAAUUAUUGAAUCUGUAAAAUAGUAUAUCUAGUUAAAGGGAGUUUUAAGAUAAUUGGAUUUUUUGCAUGAGUUAACCAUAAUUUCCACUGAUAGUCAAAGUACUUUAGUACAAUGUAAGAAUCCUAUUUACCAUGAGAGGUCUAAACACAUUGAAGUGAUGUAUCACUUCAUACAAGAAAAAAUUGUAUGUAGUGAUCUCAUUCUUGAAAAAAUUCAUAUAAAUGUAAAUCUUUCUGACAUGAGAACCAAAAUUCUAUUUAUCGAUGAGCUCAAAACUUAUCUGUCUUUACUGAAUAUUGAUAUAGAGUAAUCUUUUGCAGGUACAUGGGCGAUGAUAUAGGGUAAAUUACUGUCACAUGCAAUGUAGCAACUAGAGAAAGUGAAGGGUUAAAGAAAACAAGGUGAUCAUCGUAAAAUGUGUUUUCUAAACCCGUUUACAAAAGUGGAAAAAAAAAUUCAUUGGCGUAAAUCUGUUGGCUGAUAUAUGGUGAUUCAGAUCUAUGUUUCUUGUGGUUGAUCUGGAUCUAACGGCUACAGCUUAAGGCAUUUUUAGACCCUUGAGUUGGCCUGGUUAAUGGAUUUUCAUUCAUUCAGUCUUUCAACAUCUCACUUUUCUCUCUCUAAACUCUUGCGUAACCUCUCCUCUUCAAAGCCGGUCGUUUUCACUGUAAAUCAGAUCUAGUUUCUGAUUUCUGGUUUUUUGGUGUAGUGUAUAGUCAAAUUUGGGUUGUGACUAUGUAUAGUUAUCAUUUUCAAAAGGUUUUCAGUUUUUUUGUAGUUGAUUAAACUUUAUAGAAUUUUGGCUACACUUGGUUACAAUCUUGAGUUGAUUAGAGGUUGUUUUUCUUGAGAUCUAUAUAGAUCUAUUAUAGUAUCUUGG